rnacentral:rRNA from 1 species
GACGAACGCUGGCGGCGUGCUUAACACAUGCAAGUCGAACGGAAAGGCCCUGCUUUUGUGGGGUGCUCGAGUGGCGAACGGGUGAGUAACACGUGAGUAACCUGCCCUUGACUUUGGGAUAACUUCAGGAAACUGGGGCUAAUAACGGAUAGGAGCUCCUGCUGCAUGGUGGGGGUUGGAAAGUUUCGGCGGUUGGGGAUGGACUCGCGGGUUAUCAGCUUGUUGGUGGGGUAGUGGCUUACCAAGGCUUUGACGGGUAGCCGGCCUGAGAGGGUGACCGGCCACAUUGGGACUGAGAUACGGCCCAGACUCCUACGGGAGGCAGCAGUGGGGAAUAUUGCACAAUGGGCGGAAGCCUGAUGCAGCAACGCCGCGUGCGGGAUGACGGCCUUCGGGUUGUAAACCGCUUUCGCCUGUGACGAAGCGUGAGUGACGGUAAUGGGUAAAGAAGCACCGGCUAACUACGUG